rnacentral:lncRNA from 1 species
CUGUCAGCUCCUUGGAGGCAGGAACUAUCUGACUCAUCUGUCCAUCCCAGUGCUUACCUGGUGCAUGUCAUAGAUGCUUAUGGAGUGAAAGAGCACACAAUGACUGCUUCAAGAGUCCCAGCCUUGAUGUAGUUAGUGCCUACUCUGUGACAAGCGCUGUGCCCGUGGGUUGCAUGCAUCGUCUCAUUAAAGUCCUACAAGCCUGCUAUGCAGUUUCUCUUACUCCCCACCUUUCAGAUAAGGCAAACCGGGGCUCAGGAAGCUAACAGUGGCACCAGGAGUCCAGCUUAGGUCUUCUUUCCCGUCACAUCUCUUUGCCUCCUCCCUUAAAGUGGCAGAUGGAGGAAGUCAGCAGCUCAGAGCAUUUGCUGAUCCUAGCCAGCAUGGGCGAGUGUUUAGAAGCUGUCUCUUAUUUUGCUUUGAGGAAGCUCUGGCAGGAUGAAGUCAUAGAGACUGCCUUGAUUUUCUGUGAUCUCUCCUAGGUGAGGCAGCAUGGAGUCAGGGAAGGAAGGAGGCUGCAGGUCCACCGGGCCAGGGUUUGAAUCCUGGCUCUGUCACCGCCUGUGUGACUCUGGCAAGGUGUUCCACAGCUCUGUGUCUCUUACAGAGGGAUAACCACACCUCCUGCAUGGGAGUGAAGAGUCCAUCAGAAGUUUCAAGUAGAGGGCUCAGGGCCCUAUGAGUGCUGUGUGUAUAUGGUAGCUGUCUUUAAUCUGAAGAUGCUGGAGAAUGCUGAUGUCACUGCAUCGGUGGCCUGGCUGACCCUGUCCUCUGGCUUUAGCAAGCACAGGGCAUCAGAAAGAAAAACCCCAGUGAUAGUAACACAAAAGAAGAUCUGGUUUCAUCCCUGGAGCCUACAGAACUCAUGGCAAGAUUUCUAGACAUAGACAUGUGCGUGCAUGCAUGCUAAGCCGCUUCAGUCAUGUCCGACUCUUUGCGAUGCUAUGAACUGUAGCCCAUCAGGCUCCUCUGUCAAUGGGAUUCUCCAGGCAAGAAUACUGGAGUGGGUUUCUGUGCCCUCCUCCAGGGGAUCUUCCCAACCCAGGAAUCGAACCCAGGUCUCUUACAUCUUCCUAUAGUGACAGGUGGGUUCCUUACCAGUAGUGCCACCUGGAAAGCCCAAGCAUACACACAGGGAUUGGUAAAAAGCAGAAUAAGUAUAGCAAGGCAUGUCUACUUUGUAAGACAAAGACCAGAGAUAAAGACUCUAAAAGCACAAGUGUUUGCCAAAGUCGAGUCCCAGCGGGCUUUGUUUUUUUGCAAGUAUGUACUUGAUACAGAAGAGAGAUUUACUCUAAAUAGAAUUCACUGAGGGAUGUGGAAAGCCAAAAAAGUCUCAUUUUCUCACCUUCAAGGAACUUGCUAGUAAUAAAAGAAGAUAAAAAAGAGAAAGCA